CCCAACUUUUAUGAUGAAACCUAUGAUUAUGGUGGUUUUACAAUGAUGUUUGAUGACUGCCGAGAACGGCCUGUGGGAUUCCCCAUGAGGGGAAGAGAUGGUUUUGACAGAAUGCCUCCUGGUCAGGGUGGGCGUCCCAUGCCUCCUUCCAGAAGAGAUUAUGAUGAUAUGAGCCCUCUUCGAGGACCUCCUCCACCACCUCCUGGUCGAGGUGGCCGGGGUGGCAGCAGAGCCCGGAAUCUUCCUCUUCCUCCUCCACCACCACCCAGAGGGGGAGAUCUAAUGGCUUAUGACACAAGAGGAAGGCCUGGAGAUUGCUAUGAUGGCACAGUUGGGUUCAGUGCUGAUGAAACUUGGGACUCUGUAAUUGACACAUGGAGCCCAUCAGAAUGGCAAAUGGCUUUUGAACCACAGGGUGGUUCUGGAUAUGAUUAUUCUUAUGCAGGGGGUCGUGGCUCAUAUGGUGAUCUUGGCGGACCUAUUAUCACUACACAAGUAAUUAUUCCCAAAAAUCUGGCUGGAUCUAUUAUUGGCAAAGGUGGUCAGCAGAUUAAACAAAUUCGUCAUGAGUCUGGAGCAUCAAUCAAAAUUGAUGACCCUUUAGAAGGAUCUGAAGAUCGGGUCAUUAUCAUUACAGGAACACAGGACCAGAUACAGAACGCAUAGUAUUCGCUGCAGAACAGUGGGAAGCAGUAUGCAGAUGUUGAAGGAUUCUAA